GUCGAUUCAUAAUCAUGUUUUUUUUUAUGUUUCUCUUUUAUUUUUCAAUCUUCUUGAAUUUUUUUCUUCUAUUUUUGUUUUUUGGGUCAAUCCAAACCAAUUAUUUUAACUAUUGAAUGUUUGCUCAUCUGAAUAUCUUUUUCCUGUUUUUUCACAUGUUUUUUUAUUUAUAUUUAGUGCUUCCAAAAGUCUGCAUUUAUCUACGUUGUCUUUUUUUGUUUGUUUUAUUGUUCUGUGUAUAGAAUUUAUGAGAAUCAACAAUUGUAUUUGAG
rnacentral:lncRNA from 1 species